rnacentral:tRNA from 1 species
GGCCCUAUCGUCUAGUGGUUAGGACAACAGGUUUUCAUCCUGUAAACAGGGGUUCGAUUCCCCUUAGGGCUACCA